AUUUCCAUCUUCUGAUAUCUUGUUCAAUUUUUCUUCAAAGACUUUAAGUAUUUUUCUAACAGGUUAGGGUUACCCCCAAGAUAUUUAAACUGUUUGUGGCUAUUCUGAUGGAUGUUGUUGCCCUGACCUCUUUCUUAUUUCAUUUGCCAUUUGUGUAUAGAAGAGCUAGUGGUUUUAUUAAUCUUGUGUCUUGUCAUUUCACUGAGGAUACUUAUCAGCUCUAGGAGUCUCUUGUAGGAUUUUUGGGAUCGCUUAUGUAUACUAUCAUAUCAUCUACCAGUAAUAAUAAUUUCUUCAUUUCCAACUUUUAUUCCUUUGAUCUCAUUCAGAUGUCAUACUGCUGUGGCUAGAAUUUCAAGUACUAUAUUAAAUAGAUAAGGAAAGAGUGAACAGUCUUCACUUGUUCCUUAUUUUAGGAGAAUUGCUUUAAGUUUCUCUACAUUUAAUUUGAUGUUGGUUGUCAUCUUGCUUUAAAUUGCCUUUAUUAUGUUUAGAUAUAUCCCUUUUUCCCUAUUCUCUCCAAGGCUUUUAUAAUGAAGUGAGUUGGAUUUUAUCAAAUGCUUUCUCAGCAUCUAAUGAGAUGGUCGUGUGGUUUAUUUUUCUUUCAGUUUGUUUUUAUGAUGGAUUACCUUGACUGAUUUUCAUUGAACGUUCUGUUUCUUGAACCCUACAUGCUUCUGGAACAUUUUGGUCUUCCUCACCUGAAGAUUUAUCCUCACUCACUUCCCAGUCUCUGGUAACCCUUACUGUACUUUCCAUCCCUACAGAUCUUACUCUACCAGAUUUGUAUAUGCCUUCAGCCAUCAAGGAACAUACACAUGGAUGGCACCUUUUCUUACUGUGAAUAUUGCCAUGGAUGUUGCUAAAUGAACAUGUGUUCAAGAAGAUUCUUGAAUUCUUUGGGGAAAAGGCCCAAAAACUGAAAUGAUACAUCUCAUGGGAAUUCUCUGUUUUAGCCUGUGAGGGAUGACUACUUCGUUUUCCACUGGCAAUGCAGAAAGGUUUUAACUAUCUCAAGCCUUCACUUGCAGUCCUGUGUUAUUCUUCUUAGAAAAAAAACAUACUGUGCACACCACGUUUUAUUUAAGCUGACAUAAGGAAGAAAGUAUUUUACAUUGUUUACAAGUUUCCAUCACUCAUCACGUUCCUUUUUAUAGGACAUAGAGAUGACCACUGUUGCCCCCGAGUGCAUAUAACAAAUGAUUCAUUUAUGUAUUGACAAUCUUUCUAUUUGAAUAAAAUCCAUCCACUAUUAGCAAAACCAGGGAGCACUGCAUUUGUUUGUGACCUAUUAGGAAACUGGAUUUUCCAUUAUAUCAUUGUACAUUAUUGAAUUCAAAUAUAUUAUUUGACUAUUUUGCAGAUUGUUCCUAACCUAUGAAUGUUUAAGAUCAUAGAUAUAUGAAUAUUGUUUCACUUUAAUGAGGUUGAAAGACUUUACAUUGAAAAGUUUUUCAUACAAUACAAUCUGGUUUGCAUUCCCCUCCCGCAACUCUUCCUAGAUCCUCCCAGACUCACCAUCUACCCAAAUUGACACACAUUCUCUCUCAGUGGAAUACACGCAGACAUCUCAUAAUAAUAAGAUAAAAUAAAACAAACAAACCUGAGUGGGAUGAAGCAAAGAAUCUACCAUGAGAAAGAGUCAAAGAAGAAACACAUAUAGAUGCAGAGGCAUACACAUAGGUACACAUAGAAAUCCCAUAAAUGCUCAACAUUGGAAACAAAAAGAGACAUGUAAGGUUAAAAAAGGGGGGUGUAAAAAAGAAGAAACAGAAUGUUGUUUCAAAGCAUUAUGCAACUAGGAACCUCCCAAAGAUGCCUGUGAGUUCAUUUUGUGUUGCCAUCUUCUGCUGAGCAUGGGGGUCCUUUGUACACACAGUGAAACUCCUUUGGAGAAAACAAAGUUUUCCUUUGAGAUUGGAGAUAGUGUCUGAAUUAGGGAUUAGGGCUUGGAGGAUGGAGAGUUUUAUUAUUGAGUAUUUGCUUUAAAAACCUUAUGCAAAUGCAUAGAACUGAAUGGUUUUGUGUUCGAGGGAUUGAUGAGGAUUUGUUAUGUGGUUCACACUCUGGCUCAUGGUACUACUUUUUAAUUUUUUCCUUUCAGAUGCUUCAUUUUCUCCCAUAAUUCCCUGCCCAGUUCAACAUUUCCUAUUACUACUAAGUAGGUAAGACCACCUGGAUCCAUCUUCCAAAUAUAUAAAUUCACCUAUAACAUGCGGAGAUAAGAUGUAAAGAGAAACCUAUACUGUGACUUUCAAAUUUGUUCUCUGAAGGAUAAACAUGCAUCCACCAUACAGGUUUCAGACAUGGAAAGCAUAAAGUCUUCAGCAAGUUGAAUCCUGACCCCUUAGAGCUCUUCUACAAACAGAGCAUUAACCAAGCUGGUUAUCAGUUCCAAAUCCAUCUUGUUAGUGUAACUUUUCAAGUAGGACAUCUGUGACUUCACUCAGUUAGGAGCAUAGUGGGUAUGUGAGAGAAAAUGUUUCUGGCCAGGAAAUACAGUUUUUGGUUCCCUGAAGCCUUCUUCCGAUGCAACCCCUGACACAGUUCACAUUUCUACUGAAUGGAAUAAUCCAUCUUUUCCCUUUCUGCAAAACAACCCAGCUGAGAUCCCUGGGACAAAAUUUUCUCCUGAUCAUUUUCACUUGCACACAAAGAUUUGAACUAAUAAGAUAUCUUGAUUACAUGUUUCACAUGUCAUUUUUAAGUGUAAUUUUGCAGACGGAGAAGUGGUGGCCCACAAUUUUAAUGCCAGCACUUGGGAGACAGAGGCAGGCAGAUUUCUGUGAAUUUAAGGCCAGCUUGGUCUACAGAGUGAGUUCCAGGAAAGACAAAGCUACACAGAGAAAACCUGUCUAAAAAAACAAAAAAGAAGUGUAAUUUUGUUUCACAGAAAAUAUUUGCUCAUGUAAAAUAUGUCAACAUGCCUUAAUGAAGUGAAUUUGGUUAUCCAAGGAUAGAAAUUUGAACAUGCGAUAGAGACAAAAUAAUUCAUGAAGGUUGUCAUCAUUUCUUUGUGUUAUGCAUUGCGUGUGUGUGUG